rnacentral:rRNA from 1 species
ACGACGCUGGCGGCGUGCCUAAUACAUGCAAGUCAGAGCGAACAGAAGGGAGCUUGCUCCCGGAUGUUAGCGGCGGACGGGUGAGUAACACGUGGGUAACCUGCCUGUAAGACUGGGAUAACUCCGGGAAACCGGAGCUAAUACCGGAUAGUUCCUUGAACCGCAUGGUUCAAGGAUGAAAGACGGUUUCGGCUGUCACUUACAGAUGGACCCGCGGCGCAUUAGCUAGUUGGUGGGGUAAUGGCUCACCAAGGCGACGAUGCGUAGCCGACCUGAGAGGGUGAUCGGCCACACUGGGACUGAGACACGGCCCAGACUCCUACGGGAGGCAGCAGUAGGGAAUCUUCCGCAAUGGACGAAAGUCUGACGGAGC